AUGUUUUACUUUGCAGGUUGUGGUGAAGAAAAUAAGCAAAGAAGAAUAUGGAAUCUCCAAGUUGCAGAAGCUGCUCGCGAAUCCUUCAAUAAUCCACGACAUCCAUCAAUAACAUCAACUAUGAAACCUUCUCCCGUCAAUUUCCGCACAAUUCGAUUUCGUCACUGCAGUACAACAGUUUCAACAACUUAUUGUUGUCCCUCUGUCCGACGAGCUUCUCUCCGCCAAUUUCGAGUAAUUCUGCCACCACGUUUUGCUUACAGGUUAAAGAGAAAGAAGAUUAAAAAAACAGAAGAAAAAUGA